GAUGAAGAACGUAGCGAAAUGCGAUACUUGGUGUGAAUUGCAGAAUCCCGUGAACCAUCGAGUCUUUGAACGCAAGUUGCGCCCGAAGCCACUAGGCCGAGGGCACGCCUGCCUGGGCGUCACACGUCGUUGCCCCCCCAUCUACUCCUUCGGGAUUGCGGGGGGGCGGAUGAUGGCCUCCCGUGCGCCUAGCCGCGCGGUUGGCAUAAAUACCAAGUCCUCGGCGACACACGCCACGACAAUCGGUGGUUGCGAAACCUCGGUUGCCCGUCGUGUGCGUUCGUCGCGCAUCGAGGGCUCGAAAAAAUGCUCGGCUCCGGCUGGGCUUUCAACGCGACCCCAGGUCAGGCGGGGUUACCCGCUGAAUUUAAGCAUAUCAAUAAGCGGAGGA
rnacentral:misc_RNA from 1 species